rnacentral:rRNA from 1 species
GAUGAACGCUGGCGGCGUGCCUAAUACAUGCAAGUCCAGCGAACGGACGAGAAGCUUGCUUCUCUGAUGUUAGCGGCGGACGGGUGAGUAACACGUGGAUAACCUACCUAUAAGACUGGGAUAACUUCGGGAAACCGUAGCUAAUACCGGAUAAUAUUUUGAACCGCAUGGUUCAAAAGUGAAAGACGGUCUUGCUGUCACUUAUAGAUGGAUCCGCGCUGCAUUAGCUAGUUGGUAAGGUAACGGCUUACCAAGGCAACGAUGCAUAGCCGACCUGAGAGGGUGAUCGGCCACACUGGAACUGAGACACGGUCCAGACUCCUACGGGAGGCAGCAGUAGGGAAUCUUCCGCAAUGGGCGAAAGCCUGACGGAGCAACGCCGCGUGAGUGAUGAAGGUCUUCGGAUCGUAAAACUCUGUUAUUAGGGAAGAACAUAUGUGUAAGUAACUGUGCACAUCUUGACGGUACCUAAUCAGAAAGCCACGGCUAACUACGUG